rnacentral:rRNA from 1 species
AGCGAACGUUAGCGGCGGGCCUAACACAUGCAAGUUGUGCGAGAAAGUCGGCUUCGGUCGGCGAGUAGAGCGGCGCACGGGUGAGUAACACGUGGAUAAUCUACCCUUCGGUGGGGGAUAACUUUCCGAAAGGAUUGCUAAUACCGCAUAAGACCACGUCCUCUUCGGGGGAUGGGGUCAAAGACGGCCUCUUCAUGAAAGCUGUCGUCGAAGGAUGAGUCCGCGGCCCAUCAUGCUAGUUGGUAGGGUAACGGCCUACCAAGGCGAAGACGGGUAGCUGGUCUGAGAGGAUGACCAGCCACACUGGAACUGACACACGGUCCAGACUCCUACGGGUGGCUG